GGAGAAUUGGGGUUUUGAAGUUCCAAGCUCAAUUGGUAAGUCAAUUUAGCCACUUUUCUUGUAAUUUUGAUAUUUUGGAAUCCUAGAACAAAAUACUACUUGAUUUAAGUUAAAAUUAUGAAAGUUAGUAAAUUUUUAGAUGUUGUUCAUGUUGAAUUAAUUGAUGAAUUAGGGGUUAAAUUGAUUGAAUUUCAAGUUAGAAGUUAGUAAAAGGUUGAUUUGUAAAAUAAAACAUGAGUUUUGAAUUAAUAGGGACUAAAUUGAGAGAAUUUCCAAAUUAGGGAUUUAUGGUGAAAAUGAAAAGUUAAAAUGAGUUUAUGGUAAGAAUUAAGAGAGAAUAUGGAGUUAGAUUGGGAAAAUAAAAUUAGUAUUGAUAAGGGAUUAAAUUAGAAUUUAGGUAAAGUUUAGGUAUAAAUGGAAAUAUUUUGAUGAAAUUGUGUAUUAAUGAUUUUUAAUUGUUUAAUUACGUAGCUAAUGUCGUGCAAGAGUCAUUGUCCGAGAAAGGAAAGGAGAAGGUUAGUAGAAAGCCAGUGUCCGGUCCUGCAUCCAGAGCAAUCCCAACCUCAGAUAAAUUUUAGUGAUGUACCUUUCUUUUGAUAAUGUGGCAUGUAUCUAGGUGAUGUAUUGAUUAAAGUAUGCUAUGUAUGUUAUUUAGUUGUGAAUUAGUUAUAA